ensembl:lncRNA
CAGGUCACAGGCAGACAUUUUCCUCAAUUCUCACUCGAAAGCAUCAACACCCCAAAGAGAAGCCAUGAAGCCAGUGAUCGUGCUGUACGUUGCGCUGAUGAUGAUUGCACUGGUGUGCAAUGCUUAUGCUGCAUGUGAGAAUGGAUGGUGUACCAAGAGAUGUGGUCGUAAUGAAUAUAGAGACCGCAAUUCAUACUGUGGGGGUGGAAAUAUAUGCUGUGUUGAAAAAGGCAAUUGAAGAACAUCCGUGAAGGAAGACUGUGUGGAUCAACCAACAUGCAUUGUUGUUUUUUUUUCUUCUUCCAUUUAAGUUGACACAAGACAUGGAGUAAUCAUGAUUUGUGUUUAAGCCUGUUUGAUGCCAGUUUGAAUAAAAUUAAAUUUCAUAACUAUGAGUA